CAGUAGCCACGGUAAUACGGAGGGUGCAAGCGUUAAUCGGAAUUACUGGGCGUAAAGCGCACGCAGGCGGUCUGACAAGUCAGAUGUGAAAUCCCCGGGCUUAACCUGGGAACUGCAUUUGAAACUGUCAGGCUGGAGUCUUGUAGAGGGGGGUGGAAUUCCAGGUGUAGCGGUGAAAUGCGUAGAGAUCUGGAGGAAUACCGGUGGCGAAGGCGGCCCCCUGGACAAAGACUGACGCUCAGGUGCGAAAGCGUGGGGAGCAAACAGGAUUAGAUACCCGGGUAGUCCCUGUCUCUUAUAA
rnacentral:rRNA from 1 species